GUCAAGAUCCUUCUCUCAUCUAAUUUUUCUCUCAUCCUUGUCAUUAGCUUUGACUAUACUAUCUCCACCACUUCUCAUAAGCUUUCUCUCACAUCUUUCUUACUCUUCUCCAUAUAUCUUCUCUAUCUCCAUUUCUCUUCAUCAGUAAAGAUCUAAACUCACUACGUGAAAUUUUAUUUAUCUUUUCAGUUCAAUGAGAUGAAGAUGUCUCAAUAUAAUAGUCGAAGGCUAUCACCAAAUGGCAUUCCUCUAUGUAGAUGUGACGAAGAAGCGAAAAUUAUGACUUCAUGGACAAAUUCAAAUCCCGGAAGGAGGUUCUAUAGAUGCAAGAACUAUGGGAUAAGUAAUUAUUGUGAUUUCUUCGAUUGGAUGGAUCUAAAGUUUCCAAAACAAGCUGAUGUUGUGAUUUUGGGCCUCUUGAACCGAAUUAAAAGAAUGGAGCUUAAUAAAGAAGCAUAAAGAAAGAAGAUGGAGAGAGGCUGUUGUAGGUGGAAAUGAAUUCUGACUUGUGUGCUCUAUUUGUUUUGGAUAAGUGUGUGUGUUGUGGGAAUGAUAAAUCUGAUAGUUUGGUUAUGGGAUGAGAUUAGGAUUGUGUUUUCUUUUUUUGUUUGAUUUUACUUGCAAUUAGUGUUCUUGAACUUUUGAACGUGUAUUAGUACCAUUCUUAAACUUAGGAAUAUAUAUCAAUAUCUUCUCUAAACUUAUGUUUUAUUGUAAUGCAUUUUGGUCAUUAUGAAUGAAUUGUAAAACUUUUAGCAAUCAAUGGAAAUCAAUAUCUUAAAUAUGGCCAUGCCAUUUUGUAUUUUCAUUCCAUGCAAAACGACCCCGCAGCAGAGUCCACACGACAAUAACAAGGGCUUCAACUCCGGCAGCGAGUGCUGGUAAAGCUUUCGCACAAAACCGAAGUCUCAAAAUUUUGUUUGGCUGCUGUGAAAGUGAGGGAAAGCGAGUGAAAAUGAGCGGAACCAUAAAGAAGGUGACAGAUGUGGCAUUUAAAGCAUCAAAGACUAUUGAUUGGGAAGGGAUGGCGAAGCUUAUCGUCUCCGACGAGGCUCGUAAGGAGUUCGCCUCCCUUCGUCGCGCUUUCGAUGAGGUUAAUUCCACUCUUCAGACCAAAUUCAGCCAGGAACCUGAACCUAUUGACUGGGAAUAUUAUAGGAAAACAGUUGGCACACGCUUAGUGGAUAUGUAUAAAGAGGCUUAUGACAGCAUAGAGGUCCCAAAGUAUGUGGACACAGUUACUCCACAGUACAAGCCUAAAUUUGACGCAUUGUUGGUAGAAUUGAAAGAAGCAGAGGAGAAAUCCCUGAAGGAGUCGGAACGUUUGGAGAAAGAAAUUGCCGAAGUUCAAGAGUUGAAGAAAAAGCUCAGCACCAUGACUGCUGAAGAGUACUUUGAAAAGCAUCCUGAGCUCAAGAAGAAGUUCGAUGAUGAAAUCCGGAAUGACUACUGGGGCUAUUGACCAUAUUGGCCAUUUAUGGCACCAAAUCAAUCCUAUGCCCAAAAUUAUGAACUCAACAUUUUCCUGUUCUUUUCACAAUAAUAAUUAUCAACAAAUUGUUUGUUUGUAAUUUGGUUGCUGGCAGUUUGUGGAAUUUGAGCCUCGAUGAUGUCCAUAUCAAAUGUGGGAUUUUUCCAUCUCACAAGGAGAGUUAAAUUUGGAAGAUGAUGAUUUGUUCAAUCAGCAUGAAUAAUCAAAUCUUUUAGCUGCUCUCUGUCCUUUGGACCUGCCAUGUUUUGUGCUGGAGAUUAUUCAAAUGCGAG
rnacentral:misc_RNA from 1 species